rnacentral:rRNA from 1 species
UUGGAGGGCAAGUCUGGUGCCAGCAGCCGCGGUAAUUCCAGCUCCAAUAGCGUAUAUUAAAGUUGUUGCAGUUAAAAAGCUCGUAGUUGAAUUUCGGGGUCAGUAGGUUGGUCGUGCCACUGGUACGUACUGGCCUCACUGAUUCCUCCUUCCUGAUGAGCCGUAAUGCCAUUAAUUUGGUGUUGCGAGGAAUCUGGACUGUUACUUUGAAAAAAUUAGAGUGUUUAAAGCAGGCUAACGCUUGAAUACAUUAGCAUGGAAUAAUGAAAUAGGACGUUCGAUCUUAUUUUGUUGGUUUCUAAGAUUGACGUAAUGAUUAAUAGGGAUAGUUGGGGGCAUUAGUAUUCAAUUGUCAGAGGUGAAAUUCUUGGAUUUAUUGAAGACUAACUACUGCGAAAGCAUUUGCCAAGGAUGUUUUCAUUAAUCAAGAACGAAAGUUAGGGGAUCGAAGACGAUCAGAUACCGUCGUAGUCUUAACCAUAAACUAUGCCGACUAGGGAUCGGAUGAUGUUAAUUUUUUAAUGACUCAUUCGGCGCCUUACGGGAAAC